CUUCCUCUCUUUACUAAAUGUAAAGAAAAUGAUAGAAAAGAAAAGAAAAAAGGGUCAGAGCUACAAAGCCUCUACAUUCACCACCAUGUGGGUGUCUACAUAAUGCUUAAAUAACAUCCAGAACAACUCUAUGAGGGUGCAUAGCAUUCUCAUUAAAUAUAUUUUGUCAUAUAUUUAUACACAUAUUC